ensembl:lncRNA
GCUUCUUAAAGAAAUAAACCCGAGAAAAGUGGAGAUGAAAAGGCGGAAAGGAUUGAGUGACAUAGAGCAGAGAAACCUCUCUGUGAAAUUAGACCAGAAAUAUUUGCCCAGGGUUUUGAAAAAUACAUUCCUUGGAUUUUCUAUAUAGACCACUCUGCCAUCUGCAAAAGGAUUCUCCAGCACGUAUCCAAAACGGAAGGGACCACACUGCAGGUUGCACCCCUCACACCUCGUUGGUGCUCCCUCAGUGUAAGCUGACUGCCUCACCAGCUGAAAGCACACAAUGGAACAGUGUGCCUUUCAGCAAAUAGAGUGAGCAAUGGAAAAUGCAAAGCAUCAACCCUGAAUGCAAGCUGUGGCAGGCCGGACACGAUUCCAAAUGAAGAGAAACUGCUUAUUUUCACUGAAACGGAGUGAAGUUCCUCUGGGAAGGAUUGUUUGGCUCCCAUUCUGAGUGCCGGUAUUAAUAGAGC